UACAGAGGUCCCGAGCGUUGUUCGGAUUCAUUGGGCGUAAAGGGUGCGUAGGCGGCGGGGCAAGUCUGAUGUGAAAUCCCGGGGCUCAACCCCGGAACUGCAUUGGAUACUGCCUUGCUUGAGUACUGGAGAGGGAACUGGAAUUUACGGUGUAGCAGUGAAAUGCGUAGAGAUCGUAAGGAAGGCCAGUGGCGAAGGCGAGUUCCUGGACAGUUACUGACGCUGAGGCACGAAGGCCAGGGGAGCAAACGGG
rnacentral:rRNA from 2 species